rnacentral:lncRNA from 1 species
AGCCAUCCUCAAACCCUCAUCGUCUCAAAUUCUCUCUAGCCCCUUCGAAACCCCAGCCCUCUCCCACCAUCUUCCACCAUGUUCUAUCGGAAUCUAUUUAUUCCUCGAGCCUUGGGUGGCCUGUACUCACCUCCACAUGUUCUUGUACGCCUGCUACUAGAGGAUUCAAGGUCUGACCCUGAAGAUUUUCGCUCAGUUCCAUCGCUGCAAGUUCCCCGGCCAUCUCUGGCAUGUCCUGGUCCUAUGAGUCUAUCUCUGGCUCACCUGGCUCAGAGCAGACCCUUUUCCAGGCCUUCCUCGCUUCUAGGGUUGUUCUGAAACCCUAGCCCUUCGACCUUUUCAUAUAUUCCUUUAGAUCCGCUCUAGAUCUAUGCUUGUUUCAAUGUUUUCAAAAUGAUUUUCUUAAAUUUCUUUCAAAGGUUUGCUUUCAAAAUAUUCGUCUUCGCUGAUUUAGGGUUUCUUUGAUUUUACUUGUUUUAGUGUGAUUUUGUGAGGUGUUCUUACUGUUUUGUCCUACUGUAAUUCCUGUUUGUUCCUACUCCAACUCCUGUGUGCUUCUUCUAUUAUGUUUCCUUUUAUUUUUCUUUUACUGUAUAUUUCCU